UCUAAGAAAGAUAAGGCACCCUCCAAGGUCAUGGAAUUAAUGACAGCUGGCAAGUACUUGGAUGGAGAGGGGUGAAAUGAAGGUUCAUGUCAGAUAAGGGUGGCACAGCCCAAGUGAACAUCCAGGGGAGAUGUGUCACAUCGGCUAAGUACAUGCAAGAUCUGCAGAGCUGUCUGAGCAUAUUACCAUCAGAACCCUGGAAAUACAUGAAGACGACAUUCAAAAAUGAAGCAGCCGCAGGAUAAAAGCCAAAUAGGAACAUUUCACAACUCUGUGCUGCAACUCGAGUGCAGUAAAUUUACAUGUAUUUUGCAUACGAAUGAGGUUUUUCUCACUCAGCGGCUGAGCACAUAUAAAUUAUAAGCGUUUCAUUUUCCACUGCAGGUUUAUGAUCAAACCUUUCCUACCACAGUCUGGCAAAAUGAUCUCACACACGCUCCUUCACUGGCUGCUGAUUCUCUGGAUUCAGGCUGCUGAACACAUAAAUGGUUCCAUUUCCACUACAUGCUUCACUGAGGAGCAUUUCCAACCCCACAGACGCAAGAUGAGCUCAAAGACUCCCCUUCUCUGGCUGCUGCUUUUCUGGAUUCAGGGUUCCAAUGGGCAGAUUGUGCUGACUCAGACUCCAGAAUCCCUGGCAGUGUCUCCAGGAGACAGAGUCACCAUCAACUGCAAAGCCAGUUCUAGUGCUGGUGGAUGGAUGGCCUGGUACCAACAGAAAUCAGGGCAAGCUCCUAAGCUCCUUAUCCACAGCGCUUCCACCCGUCCCUCUGGGAUCCCAGACCGGUUCAGUGGCAGUGGGUCGGGCACUGACUACACAUUCACCAUCAGCAGGGUUGAAGCUGAUGAUGCUGGAGAUUAUUACUGUCAGCAUGGUGCUAACUUACCUCUCACAGUGAUACAGACCAAUACAAAAACCUCCCUACUCUAUGAAGCAUGAAGUCUAGCAGACACUCGUACACACAAGUAGCACAAGAGUCUAGUUUUCAAAUGUUCUGCCAAAAGAGAAAUAAGAGGAUAACUCGUCCCAUCCACUAACAACCUAAAACUCUGGCAUUGUAUUGCUAUCUCGAGAGGUUAGCUGUGCAGUGAAGUUUUGUCAUAUUAUCAGCUGAACAACAGAGGGUCAUUAGUGAAAUCCCACAAAAUGUGUUAUGACUUUUUUUAAGUUUAACCUUAACUGUGAAUUUUCUGGGUUUAUAAUCCUUGGUGUUUGGAUCAUGACAACAUUCUGGUCACUGAUUUUAUCCUAAAUUACUAAUACUCUCAGCCUUAACUCCAUCUUCUUCUUCUUUAUUUUUUUGCACUGCAGUAGUGCCCACAAAGCCCCAGACAUGGACCCGGACUCCAUUGUGCUAGGUGCUUUACAAUCACAGAACCAAAAGAUGCCCCUUCCCCAAAGAACGGCUACAGUCUUAAUGUAGUUUGUGUCUGGGAAUUAAUACAUUAAUCCGGAAAGCAAACUUAAUUAGCUCAAAAUUAAAAUUGCUUUUAGACAAAAGAUGCAGAACAUGGGAAAUAAAGGUAAUAUUCACUUAGUCAUGCAGCACAGAUCACAUACAAAUAAACUGACACCACAUGAGGUACA